CUUGGUCAUUUAGAGGAAGUAAAAGUCGUAACAAGGUCUCCGUAGGUGAACCUGCGGAGGGAUCAUUACCGAGUUCAUGCCCACACGGGUAGAUCUCCCACCCUAUGUUAUCAUUACCUUUGUUGCUUUGGCGGGCCGCCAGGCUUCGGUCAGGCUACCGGCUCCGGCUGGUACGCGCCCGCCAGAGGACCCCAAACUCUGAAUGUUAGUGUCGUCUGAGUACUAUCUAAUAGUUAAAACUUUCAACAACGGAUCCCUUGGUUCUGGCAUCGAUGAAGAACGCAGCGAAAUGCGAUAAGUAAUGUGAAUUGCAGAAUUCAGUGAAUCAUCGAAUCUUUGAACGCACAUUGCGCCCCUUGGCAUUCCGAGGGGCAUGCCUGUUCGAGCGUCAUUACAACCCUCAAGCACUGCUUGGCAUUGGGCUCCGCUGCUAACCCAGCGGGCCUUAAAAUCAGUGGCGGCGCCCUCAGGCUCUGAGCGUAGUAAAUCUCCUCGCUAUAGAGUCCUGGUGGUGGUAGUCAUCAACCCCCAACUUUUCUAAGUUUGACCUCGGAUCAGGUAGGGAUACCCGCUGAACUUAAGCAUAUCAAUAAGCGGAGGA
rnacentral:rRNA from 1 species